AUACGAAGGGGGCUAGCGUUGUUCGGAUUUACUGGGCGUAAAGCGCACGUAGGCGGAUUGAUUAGUUAGGGGUGAAAUCCCGAGGCUCAACCUCGGAACUGCCUCUAAAACUGUCAAUCUCGAGACCGGAAGAGGUGAGUGGAACUCCUAGUGUAGAGGUGGAAUUCGUAGAUAUUAGGAAGAACACCAGUGGCGAAGGCGGCUCACUGGUCCGGUACUGACGCUGAGGUGCGAAAGCGUGGGGAGCGAACAGGAUUAGAUACCCCAGUAGUCC
rnacentral:rRNA from 1 species